rnacentral:sRNA from 1 species
GUUUUCUGUCGGCUUGCAGGUUUUUCCUGUGUUUGUCCUCUGCCCUGCCAAGGCCAUAGAGCUGGUGCGUGCGGGUAGCGGGGCGCUCCGAGGAGCCGCACGCCGGCGGCACCAUGGUCCACCUCACUGCUUUUCUACAGCUACUCUCCUCUGCAAGGCCUACCGUGGGGGCCACUUAACCAUCCGCCUUGCCCUGGGUGGCUGCACCAACCGGCCCUUCUACCGCAUUGUGGCUGCUCACAACAAGUGUCCCAGGGAUGGCCGUUUCGUAGAGCAGCUGGGCUCCUAUGAUCCAUUGCCCAACAGUCAUGGAGAAAAACUCGUUGCCCUCAACUUAGACAGGAUCCGUCAUUGGAUUGGCUGCGGGGCCCACCUCUCUAAGCCUAUGGAAAAGCUUCUGGGUCUUGCUGGCUUUUUCCCUCUGCAUCCUAUGAUGAUCACAAAUGCUGAGAGACUGCGAAGGAAACUGGCACGUGAAGUCCUGUUAGCUUCUCAGAAAACAGAUGCAGAAGCUACAGAUGCAGAGGCUACAGAAACAUAAAUGAGCUGACUUUAGUGAGCACAGCAGUGGGAACAAGGUCAAGGUCCUUUUGAAACACUGCAGAGAUCUUAAUUUUGUUAGAUUUGGAGUUCAAUAAAUGGAGUAUCCUGAGUUGCCCUUGCUCUUCUGGCCUGGCCUGCACAGGGCCCAGGGAGAGAUUUGUUCUUGUGUGACUUAGAGCUGUGUGUGGGUACUAAUUAGCUUUUUUGGACUUUGUCUUGGGAUAGACAGUGGCUAUGGGAGGAUUGGACUUUUGAGUUGGGCUCUGGGUCUCUUGGACAACUUUACAAUUUACUGGCUUCCAAGACUUCCUGCUUCAAAACCCCCAGCCAGACUAUUCAUGGCCCAUUCAAAUCUUCAUGUUCAUCCCACAAGUGCAAGAACAGUUACCUUUCUUAUUGAUUUUGUAAUUGGAGGUUUAUAUUGUCUUGCUUAUUGCAUAUUCUCUUUUUUUUUUUUUUGAGACAGAGUCUUGUUCUGUUGCCAGGCUGGAGUGCGGUGGUGCCAUCUCAGCUCACUGCAAUCUCCACCUCCUGGGUUCAAGCAAUUCUCCUGCCUCAGCCUCCUGAGUAGCUGGGGAGCUACAGGCAUGCCCCACCACACCCAGCUAAUUUUUUUUUUUUGAGAGGAGUCUCGCUCUGUCGCCCAGGCUUGAGUGCAGUGGCGCGAUCUCAGCUCACUGCAAGCUCCGCCUCCUGGGUUCAUGCCAUUCUCCUGCCUCAGCCUCCCGAGUAGUCCCAGGAGUAGCUGGGACUACAGGUGCCUGCCACCACACCCAGCUAAUUUUUUUGUAUUUUUAGUAGAGAUGGGGUUUCACGUUAUCCAGGAUGGUCUUGAUCUCCUGACCUCGUGAUCCGUCCGCCUUGGCCUCCCAAAAUGCUGGGAUUAUAGGCGUGAGCCACCGCCCGGGCAAAUUUUUGUAUUUUUAGUAGAGAUAGGGUUUCACCAUGUUGGCCAGGAUGGUCUCAAUCUGACCUUGUGAUCUGCCCACCUCGGCCUCCCAACGUGCUGGGAUUACUGGCGUGAGCCACCACUUCCGGCCUUAAUGCAUAUUCUUAAAUAUACAAAGGUAGAUUUGUUAUGAAAAUUGCUUUGGGGCUCUAAUAACCUACCUUUUAAUAAUGAGAAACUGCUGGGCUUAAGGGAGUUCAGAAUAAAUCAAGAUUGAACCAUUCAAAUGUGGCUGUGAUUUCUGCAUAUAUCAUAGAUGGGAUCCUUCUGAGAAUACUGGAAUAGGGAAUUAGGACACCAAGCCAAUUCAGCUGUGAACCUUAUUUGUACUUUUCUUUCUUGCUGGUAAUUUUAUGGAGCAGGUUAAGAAAGCUGCUCUGUGUUAGGAUAAACUGUAUACCAAUAAUGUUGACAACCUGUGAUGAGUGUUGCUUUUUACUUCUUGUAUCUUUUCCUUCCUAGCUUGAUGCCAAUAAUUUAUAAGGGAUCUUUAUAGUUUGAAUGUAUUCGAAUAACUUCAGUAUACUUUAGCUCUACUUUUUUAUUUGACUCACAACCAUUCUUAGGUCUCAAGUAUUCCCAUGUGUUUUAAAAGCCUGAAGUCAGUGAGAUGAAAUUCAAUAUCAAGAAUUUGAAGUAACUUGUAAGGAAAAAUAAUGUAAAGAUACCAUUGGGGCAGUGGUUCACACCUGUAAUCUCAGCACUUUGGGAGGCUGAGGUGGAAGGAUCACUUGAAGCCAAAGUUUGAGACCAGCCUGUACAACACAGCAAGACCCCGUCUCUACAAAACUUAAAAAAUUAGCUGGCUGUGGUGUUGCUCACCCAUAGUUCCAGCUACUCGGGAAGCUGAGGCAGUAAGAUCACUUGAGCCCAGGAGGCCGAUGCUGCAGUGAACUGUGAUUGUUCCACUACAGUCCAGCCUGGGUGACAGAGAAAAGAAAAAGAAAACAUUAUAUAAUUUGGCUAGAGCAUAAUAAUUUGAUUUUCUGGUUUUUGAAAAUUUGAGUUGCAAUAAAAGGAUAUUUCAGUGUGCGAUUUCAA